CAGCCGCCACGGUAAUACGUAGGGUGCGAGCGUUAAUCGGAAUUACUGGGCAUAAAGCGUGCGCAGGCGGUUGUGUAAGACAGGUGUGAAAUCCCCGGGCUUAACCUGGGAACUGCGCUUGUGACUGCACAGCUAGAGUAUGGCAGAGGGGGGUGGAAUUCCACGUGUAGCAGUGAAAUGCGUAGAUAUGCGGAGGAACACCGAUGGCGAAGGCAAUCCCCCGGGCCUGCACUGACGCUCAUGCACGAAAGCGUGGGGAGCAAACAGGAUUAGAUACCCGCGUAGUCCCUGUCUCUUAUAC
rnacentral:rRNA from 1 species